ACAACAAAACAAUGACAAACUCGAGCGUGAUGGAACCAAAAUAGCAUAGUCAUGAGAAGCACAAAUGAGCAUAGUCUGUGAAAGCAUAAAUGCAGAUUAUCGACUCGCCAUUCAUUUAGCAACCAUACAAUAGUUUAAUUCCAGCCAUGAGCUAUCAAAAAAAACUACACAUGUCUCACUUUCAAUACAGAUUUGGUUAACAAAUUGAUAGACAAACGAAUGGACUCAAAUCCCCUAAACAAAGACACGAAUUCAAUUCCCAACAAGCAUAUUAGAACAAAGGUGAAACACUAAGCGCGAUGUCAAUAUAGCAGCCAUUCCAACCUUCCAGGGGUCAUGUGUUCACGCUUUAGUAACAACAAAAUCCAAGCACAACCUGCUAUGCUUGUUCAAGAGAAGAGAACAGAAUGAUUACCAGAAAUCAUUCGUACUAGAGAAUCAGAUAACCAAGUGGAAAACCAUGAGGAUAUACACUACUGAUUUAGAUUCAUUUGACAAUCAUAAAGUAGAGCAGAAUAGUAAAUGAAAUCGCAGAUAACCACACAAGCCUUAUCUAUUAUUUUAACUGAAAUCGUUUUACAGUCCAUCCAUGGCUCCCUUCACAACAAAAUAAAAGGAAGAGCAGAAUUGAACCUGGGACGAAAAUCAAACUAGUCUCAAUACUGUAAUCAAUACAGAGCAACAACAACUACGAAUCGACGCCUCGAGCAAUAACGAGUUCAAUUAUCUCUCAAUCGAACUCUAUUUUUAUAAACUCAAGACUGAAAGAAAAGACGAAAUCUAUAUGUUUUGAAGCUUGUAAACAAUAAACCAAACAACCCUAAAAUCACUGAAUACUGAACAUUUUUCUGUAUUUUUCUUUUUCUCCAGUUCAACUAAGAAUGAAUGCAAACGAUAAGAAGAAGAAGACUAUCUCUCCAAAAUUCUCUCUCCAAAAAUUCCUCUAAAAAAACUGACCCCCCAGAAAUCCAUCCAAAAUCCCUUUUUGAGAAUGAAUUCCUGAUGAAUGUGGGGCUUGGAUUGAAUGAAAUCAAUCCAGCGCCUCACACUCAUCCAGCAAAUCCUUCUCAGAAGCUUCCAAUCGCGUGCCUUAUCUCCAAAUCGAGCGAGGAAGGCAACGAGAAUAUUUGCGUCAGAAACGGUUUGAGAUGGUGAUGAGGAGAGAAGGAUGAACGCGCAAGAAGGGAUUUGAGACUCAUUCGCUUAGAUUUGGGCUAAAUUGAGGCUUGGUUCAUGUUCUUCUUUGGAGAAGAAGAACAGUCGCCUGGUCACUUGUGUAUAUAUCCGUGUGUGUAUUGUGCGAACGGGUCGGCUCGG
rnacentral:lncRNA from 1 species